UUUAUUACCUGUGUAGAAUAAGAAUUAACAGAUGUUUGAUAUCAUAAACCAUGUCAACAAAACUAGACAUAGUGAGGAUUCUGACAAUACUAGCUGUCUGCUUGAUAUCCCUUAUUUCAGGUAUAGCUGUUAGAAGUGAAAUUUCUCCGUUUUCAAUGGAUACCAGAAUGUACAGACCUCUCUCCGGUUUCCCUGGUCAAAGACUGAGGUUAGGAGCGUCGCCAUUGUCACCAAGUAAAUACUGGAAAAUAACAUCUGGAAGACAGUAUAAGCAGAGUUCUCGUCACUGGAAUAUGAGCCCAUUAAGUCCCAUUGUAGGGCCUCGCAGGCGUCCAUCAAAUCUGCUUACUGUCGGAGAUCUAAUGCUGAAUGAUCGCCUUGGAAUACAUAUUUAUUGACUGUUCUAUUUUGUUUUAAUAAUUAUAAUUUUUUGGACGUUCUCUUUUUGAAAUAAAUAGCGUGUAACCUUUUA